rnacentral:rRNA from 1 species
UACGAAGGUCCCAAGCGUUGUUCGGAAUCACUGGGCGUAAAGGGAGCGUAGGCGGCGUGGUAAGUCAGAUGUGAAAUCCCGGGCUCAACCCCGGAACUGCAUCCGAUACUGCCAUGCUUGAGGGUUGGAGAGGUAGCUGGAAUUCUCGGUGUAGCAGUGAAAUGCGUGGAUAUCGAGAGGAACACUCGUGGCGAAGGCGAGCUACUGGACAACAUCUGACGCUGAGGCUCGAAGGCUAGGGUAGCGAACGGG